GGGUGACUAGUCUAGUGGUCAGGACGUUUCGUUGUGGUCUCGUUCCACGUGAAAUCCGAAGAAACCCCGGUUCGAUUCCGGGGUCGCCCA